CUGCUUGAUUGUCUGCCAGCCUUUGCCUCCAGUGAUUACUCUUGCUUCCUAAAAAUCAGAUCCUCUCCCCACCAGUGGAACUUGAGGAUGCUACAAGUACAAACAGAGCCCCAGGAAAGCCAAAUGAGGCUGAGAGCAUGGUCUGGGAAGCCAGGGGAGAGCACGUGCCAGAUAAUUGGCAGCAUAAAGAACCCAAGGGUGAUAAAAGAGAUGUAAUGUCACUGUUAUCACCACCCAGGACUCUGGUUGCUACUGGUUGUUGAAGGACAGUGCCUAUUAACUAGAUGUUUUUAGCUGCAUAAUAGACAGUUUGCCAAUAAGAUCAAGUUUACAGCCAGGAGCAUUUCACUUACUAGCCUCUGCCAUAAGAACUACAACCCACACCCAACAACAGGAACAAGAUGUAAAUUGCAAGUAUCAUCACUUGCCCUAAAUGUGAAAUAUCUGUACUCUCUAAAUAAAUUUCUUUUUCCUGGUUGCAGGCUUAA
rnacentral:lncRNA from 1 species